UACGUAGGGUCCGAGCGUUUGUCCGGAAUUAUUGGGCGUAAAGGGCUCGUAGGCGGUCUGUUGCGUCGGGAGUGAAAUCUUACAGCUUAACUGUGAACUUGCUUUCGAUACGGGCAGACUUGAGGUAUUCAGGGGAGAACGGAAUUCCUGGUGUAGACGGUGAAAUGCGCAGAUAUCAGGAGGAACACCGGUGGCGAAGGCGGUGAUCUGGGCCGAUACUGACGCUGAGGAGCGAAAGCGUGGGGAGCGAACAGG
rnacentral:rRNA from 1 species